rnacentral:rRNA from 1 species
UGGGGAAUAUUGGACAAUGGGCGAAAGCCUGAUCCAGCCAUGCCGCGUGUGUGAAGCAGGUCUUCGGAUUGUAAAGCACUUUAAGUUGGGAGGAAGGGCAUUAACCUAAUACGUUAGAGUUUUGACGUUACCGACAGAAUAAGCACCGGCUAACUCUGUGCCAGCAGCCGCGGUAAUACAGAGGGUGCAAGCGUUAAUCGGAAUUACUGGGCGUAAAGCGCGCGUAGGUGGUUUGUUAAGUUGGAUGUGAAAUCCCCGGGCUCAACCUGGGAACUGCAUUCAAAACUGACUGACUAGAGUAUGGUAGAGGGUGGUGGAAUUUCCUGUGUAGCGGUGAAAUGCGUAGAUAUAGGAAGGAACACCAGUGGCGAAGGCGACCACCUGGACUAAUACUGACACUGAGGUGCGAAAGCGUGGGGAGCAAACA